AGAAGUCAUGUAAAUACAUCGGAAAAUGGGACGACGAAUUUACUUUCCUAAAGAGGAGCAGGAUGGGGCACAGUCACGCGUUCUGUAAGAUUUGUAAAUGCGAUUUUAGUGUCUCCCACGGGGAAGGAACGAUGUCAGUCGGCAUGAAAAAUCCAAGUCAUUAGUGAAUGACAGAGAGCCGCAUGAGUGAACAUGAAAAAUUAAUAAAAAAUGUGCAAUGAAAAUAAAAUGUAAAUGACAAAUGGUUAUUUUAUAUUUCUUGUACACCUGUCUUAAAAUGUAAGGGAUACUGGAGCCUGGUUGCGGUGGUGGGAUGGCUCUCGGCGGGUGCCGGAAAAUUUCCUUUAUUUUCAAAUCCAAACCUUGACAGGUAUGCCAGUGAGACUUCUGUGAUUUCUCAACAGGUGCCAAGCCAUACGCGUGUGAUGAGUGUGAGUACCGCACAAACCGGGCAGAUGCCCUGCGUGUGCACCGCGAGACCCGCCAUUGCGACAACCGCGCAUUCAUCUGUGAGAAGUGUGGCAAGGGCUUCAAGACACGCUUCCUGCUGCGCACGCACCUACGCCGCCACAGCAACACCCAGCCCUAUGUGUGCCGUCUCUGCCGGCGUGCAUUUCGCUGGCCCGCGGGACUCCGGCACCACUUCCUCACACACUUGGAGUGCCAGCCCUUCUUUUGCCGCCACUGUUCCUACCGGGCCCGCCAGCGAUUCCAGGUGGUCAAGCAUCUCCGCCGGCACCACCCAGAGCAGCCCUUAGAGGAGGGUGUGGGCCAGGACCCGGGGCCACACUCGGUGUCACUGCAUGAGGCCCGGCUGGGCGAGGAGGAACAGGAAGGUGGUUCAGGGGAGUAACGGGAACUGGAGGUUGGGCUAAGGGGGGAACUGGAACUGGAGGUUGGGCCAAGGGAGGAACAGGAGGAUAGAACCGUGGAGGAACGGGAAUAGAAGGGUGAGUCAAGGGAGGAACAGGAGCCGGAAGAUUGACAGAGAUUAGAGCAGGAGUAGGCCUCGGACUCAUGAGUGCCCCAGCUCUCGCCCUGAACUCUCGCAGUCUCACACCGGUAACAACAGCAAGCUGCAGAGUGGCCUACUCUGUGUGGGAGCCUUAAUGUUAAAGUUGUGACGUUUAUCACACAGCUGCAAUAUUAAGAUACAAUAUUGUUAAGACAUAAACAUUUGUAUCUUAUUAUUAUUUGUAUCUUUUGAUUCUUUGCCUUGAACCAUGCGACACGGUGUGACCAACACUGUAUAGCCAAAACCAAACUUCACGCGUGGGUCUGUGUGUUGUGUAUGUGACACCUCCCCUGCAAGUUCCUCACUCUGUUUCGUUUAUUCACUUUGAGGCCAUUGACGAGCUUUGGCCCACCAGACAAAUGACAGUCAGCAGCUGCAGCACGAAGCUGGUGUCAGAGAAACUGGAAAACUGAUAGUUUUUCUGAAAUUUACAUUUGUUUAGCAGACACUGUUGUCCAAAGCAAUAUAUAAGUGAGGCAGAAAGUACAAGUAAACCAGUUGAUUGGCCAGUUAUUAGCCCUAACAUCAGGUGCUAUUUAGAUGGCACUGCAGGCACACAACUUUUUGAUCUGUGUAACGUUAGCAAACAGGGAGGUUUGGACACAAAAGCUUUUUCCUUCUAUAUCAACCGUAAUUUUGUUUCCUGUCCUGUUGUCUUCUGGUUUUUAUUCACUAUCCAUUUACACUACAACGUGGAAGGAGGUUCCACUGAUGUUGGUUAAUCUUUUUAAGCACUUUGGAGUCGACAUGUUUAGAAGGCACUGUAUAUAACAAACUGAAUUUGUGAACAGAAUCAUGCCAAAAAAACCUGUGGCACAAAGUACAUAUGUACAGAAUCAAGAUUAUGUGUAUUAAUAUUUCUUAUAAAUCUGUAAAUGUAAUUAAGAAACAUACUAAUAAGUGAUACACUGCCUCUUUCUUUACUGCUCAGCCACUUUAGGGGCAGCGUGUGACUUGGUGGGCUGACAUCUGAAGGUCACCAGUUCAAGCCCAGUCUCCGCAUGUCUGUGGGUCCUUGAGCAAGGCCCUUAUCCCCCAGCUCCCUGGGGGGCACAACAGGUGGCUACACUUUGUGGCUAGCUUGCUCUCACCUACAGACUGCAAGCUGGGGGAGGGAUAAAGAGAAUUUCCCUAUGGGGAUCAAUAAAGCAUUUGUUGUUAUUUUUUUU